rnacentral:rRNA from 1 species
AUUGAACGCUGGCGGCAGGCCUAACACAUGCAAGUCGAACGGUAACAGAAAGCAGCUUGCUGCUUCGCUGACGAGUGUCGGGCGGGUGAGUAAUGUCUAGGAAGCUGCCUGAUGGCGGGGGAUAACUACUGGAAACGGUAGCUAAUACCGCGUAAUGUCGCAAGACCAAAGAGGAGGACCUCCUGGCACCUUGCCAGCGGGUGUGACCAGAUGGGAUUAGCUUGUUGGUGGGGUAACGGCCCACCAAGGCGACGAUCCCUAGCUGGUCUGAGAGGAUGAACAGCCACACUGGAACUGAGACACGGUCCAGACUCCUACGGGAGGCAGCAGUAGGGAAUCUUGCGCAAUGGGCGAAAGCCUGACGGAGCAACGCCGCGUGAGUGAUGAAGGUCUUCGGAUCGUAAAACUCUGUUAUUAGGGAAGAACAAAUGUGUAAGUAACUAUGGCCGUCUUGACGGUACCUAAACAGAAAGCACCGGCUAACUACGUG